GACGAACGCUGGCGGCGUGCCUAAUACAUGCAAGUCGAACGCUGAAGGAGGAGCUUGCUUCUCUGGAUGAGUUGCGAACGGGUGAGUAACGCGUAGGUAACCUGCCUGGUAGCGGGGGAUAACUAUUGGAAACGAUAGCUAAUACCGCAUAAGAGUAGAUGUUGCAUGACAUUUGCUUAAAAGGUGCAAUUGCAUCACUACCAGAUGGACCUGCGUUGUAUUAGCUAGUUGGUGGGGUAACGGCUCACCAAGGCGACGAUACAUAGCCGACCUGAGAGGGUGAUCGGCCACACUGGGACUGAGACACGGCCCAGACUCCUACGGGAGGCAGCAGUAGGGAAUCUUCGGCAAUGGACGGAAGUCUGACCGAGCAACGCCGCGUGAGUGAAGAAGGUUUUCGGAUCGUAAAGCUCUGUUGUAAGAGAAGAACGAGUGUGAGAGUGGAAAGUUCACACUGUGACGGUAGCUUACCAGAAAGGGACGGCUAACUACGUG
rnacentral:rRNA from 1 species